rnacentral:sRNA from 1 species
AGGUCACAAUGACCCAAUUAGAAUUAUGGUAGUUUAUAGUGAAACUAUUUUAGAACUUAUCUAUUUAUUUGAAAAAAUAAACUAACUUGUGUUUUAGAAAUGAUGUACCAAAAAUUAUACCAGAAGUCAUAUACUCAUGUAUAUAUCAAUUUGAAAGUAGGUCAUGAUGACCUCAAUUUGUAUUUAGCAUGUUGUUAAUCCUAUGUGUGUGUUAAUGGUGUUUAAGCACAUUUCUCACACUCUGUAUCUCUGUUGACCAGAUAGAUAGGACAACUCAAGUUAAUGUCAUUUAUUUGGAGAAAUAUUGUACGCAAGUUUAAGCGAGAUGAUUUUUUUGGUGUUUACCCAUACAAUGAACGUGAUGAAAUACAUUUAUAACGUAUAUAUAUAGUAUUAUGUUUAUUUUUAUUGUGUUUACUCUUACCAUGAAAAACAUAAUACUUGUAUACAAAUGAUGUUUGGGGAAAUGUAGCGAGCUGUAGAUAAAAGUCAAUAAACUUAAAGUGAC